rnacentral:tRNA from 1 species
GGAGAAGUACUCAAGUGGCUGAAGAGGACGGUUUGCUAAACCGUUAGGUCACAAAUAUGUGGCGCGCGGGUUCGAAUCCCGCCUUCUCCG